rnacentral:rRNA from 1 species
GAUGAACGCUUUCUUCUUUCCUAAUACAUGCAAGUCGAGCGAACGGACGAGAAGCUUGCUUCUCUGAUGUUAGCGGCGGACGGGUGAGUAACACGUGGAUAACCUACCUAUAAGACUGGGAUAACUUCGGGAAACCGGAGCUAAUACCGGAUAAUAUUUUGAACCGCAUGGUUCAAAAGUGAAAGACGGUCUUGCUGUCACUUAUAGAUGGAUCCGCGCUGCAUUAGCUAGUUGGUAAGGUAACGGCUUACCAAGGCAACGAUGCAUAGCCGACCUGAGAGGGUGAUCGGCCACACUGGAACUGAGACACGGUCCAGACUCCUACGGGAGGCAGCAGUAGGGAAUCUUCCGCAAUGGGCGAAAGCCUGACGGAGCAACGCCGCGUGAGUGAUGAAGGUCUUCGGAUCGUAAAACUCUGUUAUUAGGGAAGAACAUAUGUGUAAGUAACUGUGCACAUCUUGACGGUACCUAAUCAGAAAGCCACGGCUAACUACGUGC